CGCCCCCGUAGUUCAAUGGAUAGAAUGAGAGCCUCCGGAGUUCUUGAUCUGGGUUCGAAUCCCAGCGGGGGCGU
rnacentral:tRNA from 1 species